rnacentral:lncRNA from 1 species
GGAAAGCAGAAACAGUAUAGUUUUUAUUUUGUUUGUUUUUCAAAAGCACCUGAGCCUCGGUUGCCUCGCUAAGGAACAGUAAUGGAGUUUUUGACCUCGCGAUAUCGUACGUAAGACAAGGAGAAUCCACCGCAGAGGAACCGACGCCAACUUUUUACCGGUACAUUGCAACCACAACCUCCACGUGGCCAUUUAAAAUGGGCUUCGUUACCUGUCGGUUCCACUUGUAACCGGUAAGUUUACCGGACACAUGUCGCCACUCGGUUCUCCUCCGGAUGAAUGAAAAAUCAGAACAAGUUCGAAGCCUAGGAACCAAUAUCACCGCUUUGCACGCUGUUUUUUCUCCCACACGCCACGAACCCUAGGUUUCCGGCCACGAUUUCGCCGGAGAAUCCCUAAACCUACUCUCUGAUGCUUCCCGUUUCCGAUAACCCCUCGACGGAACUCCACAAAAAACCCAAAACCCCUCUCUUGUUUGAUCGAAAGAGCUCUUUCAGCUCGCUCCAAGCUUAUUUCUCGGUUUACCACCCUCGCACAUGGCUCAUCUUCACCAUUCUUCUUCUCCAAGUUCUCCUUUUAUUCAUGGCUCGUUCUCUCCCCAUAUCCAUCUCCA